rnacentral:rRNA from 1 species
UACGUAGGGUCCAAGCGUUGUUCGGAUUUACUGGGCGUAAAGGGCGCGUAGGCGGCGCGGUAAGUCACUUGUGAAAUCUCUGAGCUUAACUCAGAACGGCCAAGUGAUACUGCAGUGCUAGAGUGUGGAAGGGGCAAUCGGAAUUCUUGGUGUAGCGGUGAAAUGCGUAGAUAUCGGGAGGAACAUCGAUGGCGAAGGCAACCACCUGGGCCUGAACUGACACUGAGACACGAAAGCGUGGGUAGCAAACAGG